GAUGAACGCUAGCGGCAGGCCUAACACAUGCAAGUCGAGGGGUAGAGUUCUUCGGGACUUGAGACCGGCGCACGGGUGCGUAACGCGUAUGCAAUCUACCUUAUACAGGGGAAUAGCCCGAGAGAAAUUUGGAUUAAUGCCCCAUAGUGUUAUCGAAUCGCAUGGUUUGAUAACUAAAGUUCCAACGGUAUAAGAUGAGCAUGCGUCCCAUUAGUUAGUUGGUAAGGUAACGGCUUACCAAGACAAUGAUGGGUAGGGGUCCUGAGAGGGAGAUCCCCCACACUGGUACUGAGACACGGACCAGACGUCCUACGGGAGGCAGCAGUGAGGAAUAUUGGUCAAUGGGGCGGCUAAGGCCUGAACCAGCCAUGCCGCGUGCAGGAAGACGGUCCCUAUGGAUUGUAAACUGC
rnacentral:rRNA from 1 species